CAGUAACAAUCACUAAAUUAUUUAUAUCUCAAUAUACAUAAUUCAAAAUUAAUAUCCUCUUUUUUUUUUUUUUAAACUAGACUCAUUGAAGUUUUUACUAUAAAAUUUUAGAAUUUAUACCUAAGCCAAUAAAUACAGUUUAUUCUUCAAGUCUUCUCAUGUUCUGCUUCUAAGCAGCAAUGACCCUUCUUCACUAAAAAUUAAAUAUAUUUUAAUACAAAUCUCGUAUUAUGUUACCAUUUGUUUUUCUUGAUAGACUCAUUAAUCUUUCAGGUAUAUAAACUUAAUCACCUAAACAUUUUUGUACAAUUUAUAAUGAAUUUUCAAAGUUAGAAUAGAGGGACCC
rnacentral:lncRNA from 1 species